rnacentral:tRNA from 1 species
UGCGGGGUAGAGCAGAGGCAGCUCGUCGGGCUCAUAACCCGGAGGUCGCGCGUUCGAAUCGCGUCCCCGCUA